GUGGCCAUAGUUUAAUGGUAGAACGGCAGAUUGUGGAUCUGCUCAUCGGGGUUCGAUUCCCCGUGGUCACCCCA
rnacentral:tRNA from 1 species